UUCAACGAGCUAUCGCACGUCUCAUAAGGUUCAAAAUUGGCCGAGAUAUUGCAUUUCAAAGUCUAGAUUUUUCUAUGGGAAGGGUCAGAUUUGACCCAUUCUGAAAUGAUGAAUUUUACCAACCUUUGUUUGUUUGUAUUUUUGCUUGU